rnacentral:rRNA from 1 species
AGUCUAAAGGCCAAAGAGUGCUCUUUGAAGGCUAUUAAGCAUCCUUACUAGUAGUGUAGUGUAAGGUAAGUUUGGGUAUAGCAGGACUUGAACCUGCGACUAUUAGGUUAAAAGCCCAAUGCUCUACCAACUGAGUUAUACACCCCCAAAAAGUUGGAGUAGUAAAUAAGAAAAGGUGAAGAAAAGAGGACGACCCCUCUUUUUCUCAGCAUAUUAUAGGGGCUUGGGCUCUAAAGCUGACCUUACUCAACAAGCCGACCAAUUCGAGAAGUGUUGUGAGGUUGGACAAGGUAUGAAGAAUGAAUCUAUAUCUAUGUACAAAAGUUUCCGGAAUGAUUGGGCGUAAGGCGUCUGUAGGUAUCUUUUUAAGUCCGCCAUCAAAUCCUAGGGCUCAAUCCUGGACAGGCGAUAGAAACUACCAAGCUAGAGUACGGUAGGGAAAGAGGGAUUUCCGGUGGAGCGGUGAAAUGCGUAGAUAUCGAAAAGAAGACCAAAAAUGAAAGCACUCUGUUGGGCCGACACUGACACUGAGAGACGAAAGCUAGGGGAGCGAAUGAGAUUAUAUACCCCAGUAGUCCUAGCUGUAAACAAUAGAUACUAGGAUUUGUGCGUAUCAAGACGUACAGUGUUGUAGCUUACGCGUUAAGUAUCCCGCCUGGGGAGUACGUUUGCAAGAAUGAAACUCAAAGAAAUUGACGGAGGCCCGCACAAGCGGUGGAGCAUGUGGUUUAAUUCAAUACAAAGCGAAGAACCUUACCAGGGCUUGACAUGCCACCAAUCCUCUUGAAAGAGAGGGGUGCCUUCGGGAACGCGGACACAGGUGGUGUAUGGUUGUCGUCAGCUCGUACCGUAAGGUGUUGAGUUAAGUCCCGCAAUGAGUGCAACCCUCGUGUUUAGUUGUCAUCGUUGAGUUUGGAAUCCUGAACAGACUUCCUGUGAUAAGCCGGAGGAAGGUGAGGAUGACAUCAAGUCAUCAUGCCCCUUAUGCCCUGGGCGACACACGUACUACAAUGGCCAGGACAAAGGGUCGCGAUCCCGGAAGGUGAGCUAACCCCAAAUUUCGGAUUGUAGGCUGCAACUCGCCUGCAUGAAGUCGGAAUCGCUAGUAAUCGUCGAUUAGUCAUACAUAAUUACUUAAAAUUACAAACAGUACCUAACAUUAAUGACUAGUAGUUGAUUCCAUGCGACUUAGGUCUGCGAUAGAAAAUUACCUAACUUAAUAGGGAUCCCUUCCACUUCUAGUAGGUUUGUCAUAGAAA